GAUGAACGCUAGCUACAGGCUUAACACAUGCAAGUCGAGGGGCAGCACGGUGUAGCAAUACACUGGUGGCGACCGGCGCACGGGUGCGUAACGCGUAUGCAACCUACCCAUAACAGGGGGAUAACACUGAGAAAUUGGUACUAAUACCCCAUAACAUCAGGACCGGCAUCGGUUCUGGUUGAAAACUCCGGUGGUUAUGGAUGGGCAUGCGUUGUAUUAGCUGGUUGGUGAGGUAACGGCUCACCAAGGCAACGAUACAUAGGGGGACUGAGAGGUUAACCCCCCACAUUGGUACUGAGACACGGACCAA
rnacentral:rRNA from 1 species